AAGACUAUAGACCUGCGGAGUACCUGCGGAAGGAUCAUUAAAAAAACUUUGCCCGCGGACCCUGGGUCCAAGGCGCAAAACCCACACUAUGUGCACUGUUAUCGUUCUUUUGGCAGGGGCUUGGGGUGUCUUCCAACUUGGGGAACCUCAACUUCUCGUCUAGCUCUAUCCACCUCGGACAGCUGGACAUGAGAAGCAGUUACUCUGCCAAGUGACCCUUAAAAACACGCUUUUUUGUCU
rnacentral:misc_RNA from 1 species